rnacentral:snoRNA from 1 species
AUCCCAUGAUGAGGAUAGGCGGCAACGUAUUCCUGCAACCUUUCCCACGCUUUUGGGAUCAUCUCAUCUUUCAUCUGCUGGAAGUUGGAUAUUCUUCCAUGAAGGGC